UAAUAUUUAAGAAAGGUAAAGCUAGCCAGCAGCGUACAGCAAACAAAUUAACAAAGCAAAAACUUAAGGCUUUGUGGCUGCUGGGACCUUAUCUAAUAAAAAAAAGGCGAUUUAGUGAGGAAGAGAAAAUUUAGGCGAAAACAAGGGCAACAUACACUCCGGAAAAAGAAAUUCAUUGGAGUUUUGCUAUUGAAUUCGAGAUUUGAUCUAAGAAAGUGAUACGAAUCAUUCGAGGUGACAAUUUUGGUAUUCCGAAGCGUAUACUAACACAGGUGACGGUGAAGAUUUCGUUAGCUAGAGAUCUCGAGGUAGCAUAUCCCGGUAAGCCCCGCAUUUGUUCGCGUGGGCUAUAGUUUAUUUAUUUGUUAUAUUCAUCUUCUUGGAAACUCUUAGAGUUGCUCCAUAGUCAUGUCUUUAGAGUUUUUGAGUAUUCUUUCAUUAUUUUGGACUUAUGAAGUAUUGAACUUUCUCUCAUGUUUUAGAAAUGGAUGUCAUAUUAUUAUUUGGUGAUGUUGGUGAAUUGUUGAUGAUUUUGGUGUAUUGCAUUGGGUUGAUGUGUUUGUUGAGAUAUUGGGUUAUUGUGUGGUGGAUUUGAGACAGGAAAAAUUUUUGAUAGGCUCAAAAACAGGAAAAACUCUGACCGAUUUUCUGUAAAAUACUGACGAGGCUUGUUUUGAAGUUCUAACCUCCUUAGCACCGGUCAUGAUUCUAUUUUGGGUCAUAACAAUAGAAUAACUAAAAAAAUCUUUUUAGAUAUUUUACAAUACCUUAAUUUGAUUUUCUCUUCCCCCACCCCAACACACAUCCACCUUUUUUUCUUUUGCGUUAUAUAUAAUGUU